CCUACGGGUGGCAGCAGUGAGGAAUAUUGGUCAAUGGACGAGAGUCUGAACCAGCCAAGUAGCGUGACGGAUGACUGCCCUAUAGGUUGUAAACUUCUUUUAUAUGGGAAUAAAACGUUCCACGUGUGGGAUUUUGUAUGUACCAUAUGAAUAAGGAUCGGCUAACUCCGUGCCAGCAGCCGCGGUAAUACGGAGGAUCCGAGCGUUAUCCGGAUUUAUUGGGUUUAAAGGGAGCGUAGGUGGCUUGGUAAGUCAGUUGUGAAAGUUUGCGGCUCAACCGUAAAAUUGCAGUUGAAACUGGGAGGCUUGAGUGCAGGAGAGGUGGGCGGAAUUCGUGGUGUAGCGGUGAAAUGCGUAGAUAUUACGAAGAACUCCGAUGGCGAAGGCAGUUCACUGGACUGCAACUGACAUUGAGGCUCGAAAGUGGGGGGAGCAAACAGGAUUAGAUACCCUUGUAGUC
rnacentral:rRNA from 1 species